CCGUCGUCCUGGCGCGAGGAGUUCCAUCGGCCCUUCCCUGCCCGGGAGAGGGGGGGAGGGAGAGAGACUCUUGCCCAUGCCGCCUGCAAGCCCGGAGGUGGCAGAGGUGGUGGCAGCUGAGGAGGCGGCCUGAGGGAGGAGGAAGAGGAGGAGAUGGGGAGGGACGCAGAAGGGCGGCGCUUCAGCGGCCGCAGCGGCACCACAACCGCCUCAUGCCGGAUUGACAGCAUCUGUCAAUCCUACCAAUGUAUGUACCGUAUUUUUCGCUCUAUAAGACGCACCAGACCACAAGAUGCACCUAGUUUUUGGAGGAGGAAAACAAGAAAAAAAAUAUUCUGAAUCUCAGAAGCCAGAACAGCAAGAGGGAUUGCUACGCAGUGAAAGCAGUGAUCCCUCUUGCUGUUCUGGCUUCUGGGAUAGCUGUGCAGCCUGCAUUCGCUCCAUAAGACGCACACACAUUUCCCCUUACUUUUCAGGAGGGAAAAAGUGAGUCUUAUAGAGCAAAAAAUACGGUAUUUCU